AAUCGGACCAGCCGAUGGAUUUGAUUGUAAGAACUAGAACAGCGUGGGAAAGCUGACCGAAGAUGGUGAUAGUCCAGUAUAGGUAGAAAGCAAUUAAGUUCUUGAGUAGGGCGGAGCACGAGAAAUUCUGUCUGAAAAUGGGGAGACCACUCUCCAAGGCUAAGUACUACUGAGUGACCGAUAGUGAACAAGUACCGUGAGGGAAAGGUGAAAAGCACCCCUAUAAGGGGAGUGAAAAAGAACCUGAAACCGGAUGCCUACAAGCAGUCGGAGGAGCAUUAGGCUCUGACGGCGUACCUUUUGUAUAAUGGGUCAGCGACUUAAUUUAUGUAGCAAGCUUAAGCCGAUAGGUGUAGGCGCAGCGAAAGCGAGUGUUAAUAGCGCGUUAAGUUACAUGGAUUAGACCCGAAACCGAGUGAUCUAGCCAUGAUCAGGUUGAAGGUUGGGUAACACCAACUGGAGGACCGAACCCACUCCCGUUGAAAAGGUAGGGGAUGAAUUGUGGCUAGGGGUGAAAGGCCAAUCAAACUCGGAAAUAGCUGGUUCUCCGCGAAAACUAUUUAGGUAGUGCGGCAAGCGGACACGUUGAGGGGUAGAGCACUGAAAGAGCUAAGGGGGAGCGAUCCUUACUAAACUUUAUCAAACUCCGAAUACUCAACAGUGAUACUUGCCAGACAGACUGUAGGUGCUAAGGUCUACGGUCGAGAGGGAAAGAGCCCAGACCGCCAAUUAAGGUCCCAAAAUUAUGGCUAAGUGGUAAAGGAAGUGAAUUGUCCAAAACAGUCAGGAGGUUGGCUUAGAAGCAGCCAUCCUUUAAAGAAAGCGUAAUAGCUCACUGAUCUAAACAAGACGAUUUGCGCCGAAGAUGUAACGGGGCUAAAGCCAUAUACCGAAGUUGCGGAAUUGCACGUAAGUGCAAUUGGUAGCGGAGCGUUCUGUAAGCCUGCGAAGGUGUUCCGUAAGGAAUGCUGGAGGUAUCAGAAGUGAGAAUGCUGACAUGAGUAGCGAAAAGAAGUGUGAGAGACACUUCCGCUGAAAGUCCAAGGUUUCCUGCGUAAAGCUAAUCUGCGCAGGGUUAGUCGGCCCCUAAGGCGAGGCAGAGAUGCGUAGUCGAUGGGAAUCAGGUUAAUAUUCCUGAACCAACUAGGAAGUGACGGAUUCAGUAAAUUGUAUGUCCUUAUUGGAUUGGAUGUGCAGUGAAUGAGUCCCAGGAAAUAGCCCUAGUAUAGACCGUACCCGAAACCGACACAGGUGGACAGGUAGAGAAUACCAAAGCGCUUGAGAGAACUAUGUUGAAGGAACUAGGCAAAAUACUUGCGUAACUUCGGGAUAAGCAAGCCCCAUUUCUGGGCAACCAGAGGUGGGGGGCACAUACUAGGGGGUAGCGACUGUUUACUAAAAACACAGGGCUCUGCUAAAUUGAAAGAUGAAGUAUAGGGUCUGACGCCUGCCCGGUGCUGGAAGGUUAAGGAGAGAUGUGCAAGCAUUGAACUGAAGCCCCAGUAAACGGCGGCCGUAACUAUAACGGUCCUAAGGUAGCGAAAUUCCUUGUCGGGUAAGUUCCGACCUGCACGAAUGGCGUAACGACUUCCCCGCUGUCUCCAACAUAGACUCAGCGAAAUUGAAUUCUGAGUUAAGAUGCUCAGUACCCGCGGUUAGACGGAGAGACCCCGUGAACCUUUACUAUAGCUUUGCAGUGGUAUUAGGUGACAAAUGUGUAGGAUAGGUGGGAUGCUAUGAAGUUAUGACGCUAGUUGUAAUGGAGCAGACGUUGAAAUACCACCCUUUUGUUAUUUGAUAUCUAACCUGCUUCCGUUAUCCGGAAGAGGGACCCUGCAUGGUGGGUAGUUUGACUGGGGCGGUCGCCUCCCAAAGAGUAACGGAGGCGCGCAAAGGUUGGCUCAGAUUGGUCGGAAAUCAAUCGUUGAGUGCAAUGGCAUAAGCCAGCCUGACUGCGAGAGCGACAGUUCGAGCAGAGACGAAAGUCGGUCAUAGUGAUCCGGUGGUCCCGAGUGGAAGGGCCAUCGCUCAACGGAUAAAAGGUACUCCGGGGAUAACAGGCUGA
rnacentral:rRNA from 1 species